GGGGAAUUAAGGCAUAGGGGAAAGGUGGCGGGCCUCAGGUGGGCAUGGUACUCGGACACUUUAACAAAUUCUGCAUGGUUGAUCAUGGUUUCUGACCAUUAAUGAUUAAGAAUGUUUGACCCGCAUGUGUGCAUCCCUGGUCAGUCUGCAAAAUGUCGACAUAAAAUAAUUUAGUCAAUAGUCAAUGAAGAUCGGAUUGUUUAUAAGCAAGUAAAAUAGUGUUAACGUGGAAACUUAAUUCAAAGGAAGUUUCCACAGACUGCCCACAUCAUGUUGACAGCGAAACGUGUAAAUAACCACAUUUUUAAGUAAACAUGCAGCUUUCUCGUCAGACUAUAUUUCCUUCUGGAGUGUUCCUGCUAUGAAAACGAACGAGAAGAUAUGCUACACCAAAUAUCCAAAGAGGUCGUGGUCAGAAACUUGAAUUUAGCUACUAUGCUAACGAGACUGGACGGCGAGAACACAGAAGAGACAAAAGCCAAACUACAAACAGUGGCUCAUUACAUUGACAGAACGGGCAGAUUUAAUACUGCUGUUCCACAAUCCCAAUCUUAACCAGCGCAUACCAAUUUAAAGCACAGAGAAGAAAAUACGUCGAGGAAAACGCACCAGAGAGGAAAACCGCACAUUGGGACAAUUCGUGCCAACAGGCCUUAAGAUUGAGGAUUGAGGAUACAUUCAUUGAUUGAUUGAUUGUUGGUUGCUUAACGUCCAGUGGCAAAUAUUUCAUGCAUAUUCAGGACGAGAACAAGUUCACAAUAAAUACAAUAGGUAGGUUGUUGUAAUAGAGGCCAUCUAGGAUGAUGGUCGGGGAAAUUUGGACUGCCACUGGAAAAUGAGGGUAUAUUGGAUAGGGACAGAAAUUUUGCCUUGCAACAGGCCACCUACGGACCCCUCAAAGAGUUGUUGCAAGGGUUCUUAACGUGCAAAGAGCGUGGCACUCUCUUUACACGAGGCAUCGGAUUUAACGUCCCCUUCUGACGGACGUGACUGCGAACUUGAUACAUCCCGCACAGCCAAACGGACGCCCCACUCCAGCAAGCGUUUUACUGCCGGUCGGGAGAAGACCAAGUGACCAUAUUUCUAUACCCCAGUCACCCUUGGGGAUGAGGAUACAUUCAUAAUCGUGAAUGAAAUGACUAUCCAACAUCCUCGGCAGAAGGCUAAAAUGAUUUAAAACUAACGUACCUCAAAAAUAAGCAACACACAACUAUAUUAACGUGUUGUUGUCGAACUGGUGACACUGACUUCUAUCAUAACCAGGUGCCUGAUCAGCUGUUCGUGACAAGCUCAAGAUUGACGUCGACGAAACGUUCUAGCCAAUCACGUGUCAAAUAGUUGAGAAAACGACGUCAGAUUUAGAUUGCGAUGCAAACACCGAAAAUCAUUGCCAAUUUUUUUAAACUGCAUUAACCUGCCUGCGAAGGCCUUAAAAUGGCCCCC
rnacentral:lncRNA from 1 species